AUGGUCUGCUAUUUGCUCAACCCGGAGAACCCCACGAAGUCGUGCAAGUCCCGAGGCUCCAAUCUGUGCGUUCACUUCAAGAACACCCGAGAAACUGCGCAGGGCAUGCACAUACAAAAAGCCACCAAGUACCUGAAAGAUGUCACCUUACAGAAACCGUGUGUGCCAUUCCGCCGCUACAACGGUGGAGUUGGAAGGUGUGCCCAGGCCAAACAGUGGGGCUGGACACAGGGUCGGUGGCCCAAAAAGAGUGCUGAGUUUUUGCUGCACGUGCUUAAAAAUGCAGAGAGUAAUGCUGAGCUUAAGGGCUUAGAUGUUGCUUCUCUGGUCAUUGAGCAUAUCCAGGUGAACAAAGCCCCUAAGAUGCGCCGCCGGACGUACCGGGCUCAUGGUCGGAUCAACGCUUACAUGAGCUCCCCCUAGAUUGUUCCUAAGCCAGAGGAGGAGGUUGCACAGAAGAAAAAGAUAUCCCAGAAGAAACUGAAGAAACAAAAACUUAUGGCACAGGAAUAAAUUCAGCAUGAAAUAAAUGCAGAUAAAA